rnacentral:siRNA from 1 species
UAAACGUGUCACAUUCUCUAUUG